GCAGGGACGCCGCCGCCAAUCAGGGCGCGCGGCUCUUGCCCUGCCAACCAUUGCAGGGUCCUCUCGGCCAAUCAGGGGCGGCGUCACACAAAAGAGAAAAAGCCCGGGGAGCCGUUGCUGGGUUGGGCCUCAGAAUUGAAGCGCGAGGAAGACACGACGCAAGCAGAAUCCUUCCGCGAGGAGAUGUAGUCCCUUUCCCGCCGGUUAUUUCGCGGGAAGAGGCUUCGGGGCCUACCUUUUGUAUCCUUGCUCGCCUGGUUCCAUCUUUCUAUCUUCCUGUCGAUCUAAAUAAGAAGAACCGAUGGAACACACAAGUGAUGAAUUUGUUCCACAAAUGAGUCUCAUAACAUCAAGAAGAAGACUGAGAAAAGAGAGAAGCACAAACACUGCCCUCAUCCUAGUCCUUUUGAAAGCCAUUCCUAGAAUUUGAAGAUCUGGGUCAAAAGUUGCUUGGUGUGCCAAACAUAAGUCUUCAGUUCUUCAAAAGUUAUCUGGAAUCCUGUUUUUUCAAGAAACAUUUCAAGUCCUAUGGUGCUGGUGUUAAAGGCCUAAAUCGGGCAUCCCUAAUCUGAUGUCGUCCAGAUGUAUUGAACUAUACCCUCCAUCAUCCCAAACCAAAAUAAUUAUUUUAGUUAGGGACAAUGGGAGACGGAUAUCAGUUUUGUGGGAGGGUAUCUUUCAGUCUUUUCAGACUAAUGAAAUCCAGAUGCAAUUCACAUGGGUUAGAAUUUCAGAAUAAAAGGAACAUAAAGAAUUCAUUGGAGAUGUAUCAUUUUCUAAAAUGAACGCUUUCCAAAAGUUGUAAAAGGAAGGUGCUCUAUCAAAUACAGCAUUCAAGUUGCUCAGAACAUUGUAUCCUUUUUGAAAAGGGGAUCCUCUGUAGAAUGCAUAUUUUCCUUUUAUUUCUGUUGUUGAUUGCCAUAGCUUUCAGGUUUCCACAGUUGCCUUUGGGCACAGGAAACCAGCAACUCCAUUCAUGUAAACUAGAGUAGUGGAGCUGAGAAAAUAGAUUUACCACUUUGGUAUGCCGCGUGUAUAAAUCAAGAUUUAGUCCUCCCUGGACCAGGAAAACAGAGAUGAAAUGUAAUCUAAGAGUGCAAAGUAUAAAGUCGGAAGCUUGUUGACUAAUAAUAAGCACUUUUAUAACCUUCCAGGAACCAGUGAAUAGGAACUGGCUGGGCUCCCAUGAGUGACCCAGUUCUUUAUAUAAAAAUGCCACUCAAUGUGUAACUAUAGAUCUUUUAUUCUCCCCCACUCCCACACAAAUCAGUCUUGCAUAGAGUGAACAUGGAGUGGGGGAAGUACUAAAUUUAGAUGAGCUUUCCCUAAUCCGAUGCUUUCCACAUUUGGGUGUGCUGUUGUGGGACGAUGGCAUUUGUAGUCCAGCCUAUAUAGAUGGCACUAGGUGAAGAAGAGCCAACAUAUGCCCCCCCCCCCCAUGUCAUUGUGUGAUAGGUCCUACAUCAGUCCUGAUCAAUAGUGGGGAGUGCUAGAAGUUGCAAGUCAACAACAUAAUAUAAUAAUAAUAACUUUAUUUUUAUACCCCGCCUCCAUCUCCCCGCAGGGACUCAGGGCAGCUAACAUGGGGCCAAGCCCGAAUUCCACAAUGAACAAAGUAAAAAUACAUUCACAAUAAAACAGACAUCAUCAACAUUUAAUAUUACACAUAUUAAACUAACAUUUUAACAACAAUAUAAUGGUAAAUAAAACUGCUAAAUAAGAACAACAUCUGGAGGACUGUACUUUGUCUACACAUGAUUUAGAGCAAAAUUUGAAAGUGCUAUCAAAAUAUCAAAAGGAACUCCAAGGGCCAUCUUUUCCAACCCCCAUACAAGAACACUCAGCCUUCUACUCUAUUAAAAACCUCCAAAGAAGGAGACUAUCUACUGAUGCUCUUGCCAUCAGAAAGUUGUUCAUACACUUCCUCAUUUUCCCAGGCUGAGGGCAUUGUUUUAGUAAAACAAAUUUGCAAUAACAUCCAAGUUCUAGAUCCAUUUGUCUCUCUGUGGUGCAUGCUUUAUAUAGAGCUGAAUGAAGAUAGUUUUAAAGAACAUGAAAGCUGAUCAUUCUGCCAGUCUGACUUAUGCCUAGAUAGUUUUUUUCUUCAUCAUUCAUUAUUGUAUUUAGUGCCUUUAGAAAUAUCUUUAGCAAAGGUAUAUAUAUAUUCAUCUACAAAGUAGAUGUGUUCUUGGGCAUUAUGUCUUCAACAGAAAACUUGGAACCAAAGCAGAAAUAUCAUGGAAAGAAUAUGGAAAUGAUACCCCAUUACCAAAAGAAUAGUAGCUUGAACAUGUUUCAGCAGAUUCAGAACAAUAGAUAUACAUACUGUAACUGGAAUGAGACAGCAACUUCUUAUAUGAGUAAACAAAACACUUUGAACCUUCUGGAGACAAGUUUUUUUUCACAAUGCAUCCAGGGAUUUUUUUUUCUUUCACCAAUCUCAGCUUUUCUUAUUUUGGUUGCCACAUUUACAGAUCUAUAAUUUAUAAUGUGUUGGACUAGCUAGUGAGGCAAGCUUAUUUUUAACUCCAUUUUGCUUUCCAUACAUGUUCUAUAAAGGAUUCUGGAAGCAGCUGGUGUUUACCUCACCUGCUAUAAGAUGAACACAUUGCUACAAUUGUACCAGAUAUAAUAGAAUCCCAUUCUUUCCCAGGUCAAGGUGCUUUAGAGCAUUGUUUACUUCAGCAUUGUACCAUAGAAAAUUUGUGUUUCUCCAGCCCCUUUUCAUCAUCUUCCCACAGUGGAUGCUGCUAAAAAAACUUCCAGCUAGAUAGAAGAUGUAUAGAAUCUAGACCGCGAUUCUUUGAGGAUUCUGCCGGGCAAGAAAGGCUAAUAAUUUAUAGCUUACAAAGACAAGAUAAAGGGGAGCUGGGGUGCGUAAAGACACUUUGUAAAAAUCUUGUUUCUCUAUGGUUUUGCUAAAUGAGAUGUGUCUAUUCUUUCUUAAUGCCCCCCAUAGAAAAGGAGCAUAGCUGAUACGCUUAUUGCAACUUUGAAAUAGCAUUUUAAUUUGAAUUCAUCAUGCCCCAAUAUGGCUUCAGCUGAGAGGUCCCCCUCAAUUCUGGCAGUAUUCAGAGGAAAAGGUGGCAGCAGCCUGCCAUGUUUAGGUCCAGUCCAUGGUCUAUUCAAAUCAUAAUGAGAAAUUGGGUACUUGAGGUUGCUUUCUUCCUGCGCCACUCCAUUCACAUCAAGUAGUUUAAAUGGUAUACAUAAAUUUCUGAUCUCCAUAAGCCACUCUGGGGGUGUGUAGGAUUAAAAUGCUUCAAUUUACAAGUAAACAUCUAUGUUAGGUAGUAAUUUGUAACACCCGAAACUAAUAGGUUUUCCCUGAUUGCUAAGAAGUUAUGAUGUAGAAGUGGAAUGUCUUUUCUAAACAUGGAACAAACUAUGACUUUAAAAUUGUACAUAUAAUUUUGUCCAGUUUUACAACAGUUUUGCCCCUUCCAAAUCUGGAGCAGGGAUGCAAAAUAUGUGAUCCUCCAAAUGUAAUUUGAAAGUCACCACCAUCUUUUUUAAGCCAUGACUAAUGGGAAUUGCAGUCCAAUAUCUGGAUGACCUCAUAUUCCCUAUCCUGUCCUGGGGAUAGAUUAGGACCCUUUGUUCAGAAUACCAAAAGAGGUUCUACAUUCAAACUGAAGGUUUACCAUUGACUCAUUCAUCCUUUGUUAUUCUGCAUUAAUUCUCCAGCAUAAAUUUAACAGUGUUCAGAGAAAAACUAACUUUGGGCUAAUUUUUCACUCCAUAUCCAUUCACUCCAGCUUUUUGGAGGGCUGUUUGUAGUAAUUUCUUUCUACUUCCAUUUUUAAUUGAAUAUAGUUUGGAGCUCCCAUGGCACAGCGGGUUAAAUAGCUGAACUUGCUGACCAAAAGGUUGGCGAUUCGAAUCCGGGGAGCUGGGUGAGUUCCUGCUGUUAGAUGCAGCUUCUGCCCACCUAGCAGUUUGAAAACAUGCAAAUGUGAAUAGAUCAAUAGGUACCGCUCCGGCAAGAAGAUAAUGGUGCUCCAUGCAGUCAUGCCAGCCACAUGACCUUGAAGGUGCCUAUGGACAACGCCAGAUCUUCAGCUUAGAAAUGGAGAUGAACACCAACUCCAAGAGUCAGGUACGUCUAAAUAAUGUCAGGAGAAAACCUUACUUUUACCUUAUAGUUUGCUGUGGUAGUCCUAUUGUUUGAAAGGCCAAAUUUCUCUUUGACUUUUAGAAAAUAUGAGUUGUGUUAUAAUACAAAAAGGCUAUUUCACUGAUACACUAUUAAUGCUGAAACAUUUUUAAAGGGGAGGAGAGAAGGAGACUUUUUGUUCUGACAUACCUCAGAAAGUUGCUCAAGAGUGGGAAUAAAAUGUUGCAAUUGGUACUACAAACUCCCAGGAAAUAGUCCAGAACAACAGAGAUAUUGUUUGAAUAUUUUUAAAAACAAUAUCUGAAAACUGUAACAACAAAUAAUGCAACCUUCAAGUGCAUAAUCUAGAUUCUAGAGGAAUCUUUUGUGUGUUUGCAGCAGAACAUGGCUGUUCAUAACAGUUUAACCCAGGCACGGGAAAACUUCGGCCAUCCAGGUGUUUUGGAUUUCAACUCCCACAAUUCCUAACAGCCAUUAGGCUGGAGAGCCAAAGUUUGCCCAUGCCUGGUUUAGCCUCUUACUUUGUCUUCAUGCUCAUAAAACUGACACCCCCCUCAUUGUAAAAAUAAUACCUUUGAAGCAUUGCAUUGAAACAUUUUUGAAGGCAUAUAGUUUGCCUGUGUUAUGCCAGAAAUACGUGUGGACAAAACUGAUCAUUUGCAGGAAAUUUCUAUUAAUUGGCAAGUAGUAUAUCCGUAUAGUAGCAAAGGGGCCCAAACCAUGUUUAACCCAUGGGAGUGGAAAAAAAUAUUAUAAGUUGUAACAACAUGCAUACAUGUCUUUAUGUACUAAACAGAAGGACAUGACAAUAUACUUUGGUGCCUCAGGAAAUUGUGCUGGCUUUAAACAAAGCAGGAAAAGUUUGUCUAAUGUCUAUGCAAAUUGUGUCUGGAUUAGGCAUGAUCCAGAUUUAACCAAGCACUGCUAGCAAGUUAAAAAAGCAUUUUCUCAGUGUGCCAUCUCAGCUCAUGAAUGCAUGUGUUCAGGGGCAUUGGGAGCUUAACCUUCAAAGUGAAGUUCUCCUUUGACAAGAGAACUGAGAAGGGAAGAGAUGAAUCAUAUCAUACUGGGCUGGCCCGACUAAAAAGGAGCUACAUGUAUUAUUAUCCAGGUCUGAAUACAAAUGUGAGUAAAACCUCCAGGACCCUUUCAUUUCUGAGAUGUUUUAUAUGAUUACGGCAUAGUAUCUUCUGAGCUGGUUGCCACAUGCCAAUACACCAUGUUCAUCCUUAUUUAGAAAGACUUUUUUUUACCUCAUAUCAGAUAAAUUCAGGUCAGGAACUCUUUAAAACAAUAGUAAAAUACAUGGGAUGGUUUAAAACAAUGCAGGAGAAUUAAAGAACAAACUAAAACUUGAGAGAAGUAGGACCAGAGACUGUCCAAGGUGUAAUUAGGCAUAAACUAUUUGCCCGCAUGCUACCAUCCAUUUGUAAACAAAAGUGGUAAAAUCUUCCCCUGCCCCCCAGCAAUCUUUUAGGAAUAGAGUUAUUAAAAGGUACUAAAGUAAGUCAAAAAAUAACAGGGCCACAUCUGUGCUGGCCAUUUUGGUCGGUGUAUAGCCAGCUCAGCUCUGUGGUGGCCAAACGCUACAUGGAAUUGAUCCAGGAUAAUGUGGGGCAAGGCUGUUGUUCUCCAGCCUCAACAUAGCUUCUACUUGUUGGCCAUAGCCUGCAGCGAUGUCAGCCUGGGUGAAAAGAAGCUCUGGAUAGGGAGUGGAAAUUGUAGGGGGGAUUUGUCUUCUCCCUUUGUGCCCUGUCUCUUCGGCCAACAUUGCUGCAGGCUGAUAGGUAGGACCCAUGUUGCAGCAGGAGACCAACGCGACAUGGAAGGGUAGCCAUCCGACAGUGGCAAACCACAUUUGGUGAUACUGGGUAAUGGGGAAUCCCUCCCAAUUCCACAGCAGCUGGAGGACUCACUGUGUGACCCAUAUCCGGGCCGAUCCAGCAUAUAGCACAUUGGAUCAAAUCCAGAGUAAGGGUCAGUUUAGAUCUGCCCCAUGUUUUCUAGAUUACUGGAGUUUUUCACUGUAUUAUUAUAGCACUAUGAUUUCACCUUAACCACACUGACACUAUAAUGCAGCUUGGAAUCAGUUUAGGAGGAACCAUUUUUUCCGCAUGGGUGUUUAGAUUGAUAGGUCUGGAACCGGUUUGAGACCAUGAAGGUGAUUACAUUAAGCACAGAACCUGGCUUCAAACUGCUGUGCUUGGUUCCCACCCUCAUUACUUACAGAGAUGCAUACCAGGUCUCUGGAGGCAUAUGGGUUAAAAAAAAGUGACAAGAGUAGAAGUAAUCAAUCAGCCCUCCCAGGGUUUCAGUUAGCCCCCUGCUGCCUAGCUGUGGCCUUGGCACACAUUUUGGCAGUCACCCACCCUGAAAAGUAGAAUGUGCUUUAGCAGGAGUGGGUGUCUACAAUGCACUCUCCAUUUUGCCAGGUUGAUUUUGCUCUAAAUCUGAGAUGCACUGGCACUUGUUGCAGCGCAUUAUAUGUCUGAAAUUGGACUUUCCUAAGACUUUUUAAAAUGUGCUGUAAACCUUUAAAUGUGCACUGCAUUGUGGGUUUGCUAAGUGCAUCUUGUGGCUGCUCUGAUUUCAAGUCCUCUAAAAUAUAGCCUAAAACACCUAGUAUUUGUUCCAGUCUCCACUGAAGUACUAGAUCUACCCUGCUUAGCUUCCGAGAUCAGACUGGAAAUAGUUAUACAACGUGUUUGAAAAAGAACUCCCUAGCUUUAAGUAUAAAUACAUUAUAACUAGUGAGUUCUUUUUCAAACACUCUGUAUAAAGGAUAUUCUAGAAACAAUUGGCUCUGAGAUAUAUGUGAAAAAAAAUACUUGCUUGCAUUCCACUCUGGAAAUUGGUAGAAAUGUUCCAGUUUUAAAGUAACUGGGUUGAAGGAAUAGGACAUUCACCCUUACCCAGAAAUCCAAAUGAAUGAAGUUGCAUCAUGGAUUCUCCUGUGAUGACAUACGAAUUUGCCUAUUACAGAUGACAACUGGGACACAUGUGGCCAAAUAAUAUUGGGAUGUGUUCAAGAUGGAAAAGUUAUUAAUGUGGAAGGAUAAACAAGCUAGAAGAGGUUGCAGGAGUUUGCUUUUGCCUGGGCCUACUGAGAAAAGCAAGAUUCUGCUCUUUUCUCCUAUCUCUGUAGUAAAACCAGGAAGGUCUACAUGGACUUCACAGGUCAUCUCAUAUUCAGGUGUUCAGCAAUCCCAGCUUUGUUUUGUGGCAUUCAGAAGCCUGCCCCUAAAUCCCUUGGACGGUCAUGCCUUUAAAAGAAGCUCUGGAUUUUGAAGAGGCACGAAUACAGGGCAAAAGAAAGAAAAGUACCAAGAGGAAGGCACAUCAAGCAAAUCCUUAUCAUAACCACCUGCCAUAUGGAAAUAUAUGUCAUCAGUGUCAAAGAUGAAAUGGAUCCAAAAUAGGUCUUCAUGGUCACUUGUGGACCCACCACCAAAACUCUACUUUUGGAAGACAAUCUACACAGCCACGAGUGAUCGCCUAUGAUAUGAUGAUAAUGGUAUGAUCAUAAAGGUUUGCUUGUGCUGGCUUUAUCCUACCAGACACUCUCCUUUCACACACAAACACGAUCCAGCUUCAAUCCAUGAGUAUCCACCAAGCUUCCAUCAACUGGCUUCUGCCGGAUCCGUGGCUGACAUUAGCCAGCUAUGGUCACAAAACUCCACUGACUUUGGGUUCAUAGACAUGCCACCUACUAGUACUUAGCAAGUUUACCAGCUUUCGCUACUGAACUUGCCUUCUCAUCCUGUUGCCUGAAUUAUCCUCUUUUGGAUCAUUUUGGAGCAUAUUAGUUUAACCAUAAUAUUCUUGCCAGUGUUUCCUUUUUUAAAUAGACCUGUACCUUACUCGUAUCCCCAUAACCUAACAUCACCCAGUUGCUUCUUUUUAGUCAAUUGACUUGUAUCUUUCUUUAUUUAAAUAGAAUCACAGCAUUUAAUUUUCUAGCCCUUGGUUAAGUUAUUCUUGUAAUUUCUAAUUUCUUCAAUGCUAAUCUUUAAGAAACAACAAUAAAACUUGGAAGGCUGAUUAUCAUUGCAUCUUCUACCAGAGCUGAGAGGCCUUUCAAUUACUCUGGACUUCUGGCUGAUUAUGUUAUCACAUCUGUUCUGAAAAAAAUCCCCAGAACUUCAUGUUCCCAUAUUCAUCGUCCGCUACACAUGUGAUUGAUUCUCUUGGGAAGCAGGCUAACAUACUGUCACAAGAUGGGUAAUAUAAUUGUUUCUAUUUUAGUUUGUGUUAAUUAGAAUAUGAAUUGAUGGUGGUUCAAGUACUCCCAAGGAUAAAUAUUAUAGAAUCAAAAUGAUAAAUGAAAUGAAUGGGCCUUUUUAUUGAUCCAUGGUUCCCUAUGCUUAAAAACAGAAUUAAUAUAGGCUUAAACAGAUAUGUAAGAACAUAAGGCAGUGAUGGGAGUUUUGAAGCCCUCCAGACAUUGCUGAACUACCUACAACCCCUAACAUUCCUCACAAUUAACUAUGUUGACUAGGGCAGCUGGGAGCCACCAUCCAACAAUUCUGGGCAGCUGAACAAUUCUCGAGUCUGACAUAAAUCCAUAUAGGCAUAAGGAGCAGUGAAGAAUGAGUAAAGAAUACCGAGAUAAUGUGAACAAAGACAUCAUAAUAAGAAUAGAAAAUAAAGUGACUAAUAAAAGUGACGAGAAUAUGAAUCAUGCCCUGUAUUGUUGUCAGGUCCUACACUUCAUAUUCUAACUGAAACCUCUAGUUCAUUUAGAUUGAAAGCAUUCCAAUUUCCAAGCUGUUCUAGCUGCAUAUAUUCAAGAGCAAUUCAACAGUGCUAAUCCAAGGUCUACAUUUUCUUCAAUCUACAACAAGGAUUCUUCUAGUGCUAUAAACUUCUUGCAAUAUAGCUCCUUGGGUUUUGCCUGUUGCUGUUGCUUCUAUAUUCACUAAUCAAUUCGUAUUUGGUUCUAUUUGCAGCACUUUCGUGGAUCUGCACAUAGGACUCAUCUACAUGGGCAUUAUAACCCAUAUUUACACUAAUUUCGAUCGUGUCUGCCCCCACAAAGUUCUUACAUUUCUGGUAGUUAUUGCGUAACAGGUUUAUUCUGGUUUGGCCUCAUAUUAAGAACUGAUGGGAGAUGCUCUGGAAUGUGUUUGAAAAGGGGGUGGAUCUUGCUCGUGUCACCGCUGUCAUUGUUCCCAGAUGGUGGCAGUACACUGUGUGAGCUCCUUGUUGUUGCGGAUGUCCCAUUCUGACAUCAUAGGUGCCAUGUGACCCAAAAGAAAAGUGGGGAAUUGGCUCUCUCCCUGGUUGUGCAGCUACCUGCAAUGGCUACCAUGUUUCCCCGAAAAUAAGAGUGUCUUAUAUUAGGUUUUGCUCCCAAAGAUGCUCUAGGUUUUAUUUUCAGGGGAUGUCUUACUUUUCCAUGAAGAAGAAUUCACAUUUAUUGAUGAACAAAAAAAUGAACAUUAUAUCCUGUACAGUAGUUGUCAUCGCAAACCAGCAUAACCAGACAAACUUUGAAUCCUAUCAAGAAUUUCUUGUUACUACCAUUAUUUCCAUGUACAACAAUCUAUGGUAUGUACAUUUACCAAACCUGCAUGCUCUGGUGUUCUGUUCGGCGGGCAUGCUUCCAAACACAAACAGUUCUAGGUCUUACUUUCGGGGAGGCCUUAUAUUUAGCAAUUCAGCAAAACCUCUACUAGGUCUUAUUUUCUGGGGAUGUCUUAUUUUAGGGGAAACAGGGUAGGAGGUCACAUAGAACUCUGUUGCCAUCUGGGAGGAGAGAUAGUGACAUAAACGGUAAUGUGAUGAUCUGGAAGUUGACCAUAGACUUACGUUGAAGGAGCUAUAGAGAAUACUAUGUUUUCUACAGAGAUUCAGUGGUCAACAUACAUGAAAGUAGUUUUUCUGUACACUGUUUUUCAACUUUGCCCCUAUCCUCCACAAAAGGAGAAAACCUAUUGUAUAACAUCAACGAGAAGUUUGCAAUAGGCAAGACAUGAUUUCUAAAUAAUCUGAAGACCACUAGACUUGCAAGGAAAUUUAAGAAGUCAACAGGUUCCAAUAUUCUGGAUUCAUGCUUUAAAGUUUGGAGGGAAAAUAUUUUGCUUCUAUUUGUAACUUUAUUUAACUUUCCUAAGGUGGCUGUUCAUCAAGAAUAGUUGUCUAAACAGAAGAUUGUUAGGAAUCCUAGAACAGAACGCAAGGCAACAAUGCAUAAGACAGCAUUUGACCCAUGCGAUGUUCUCGUUCCACUGUUUAGUGAAGGCAUGCCCAUAUAAGUACUAACAUAACUCUAACCUUAAUUACAGCAAAAGGAGGGAAGUUACGGAGGGCAUGUUCCAGUAAGAUCCUAAUAUAAUUAUAUUGUGCCUUAGUGAACUAUUUAUGUGCAAACAGUUAUUUCAUAGGUCUUUUCAAGUCUCAUAGUUACAGUAUAUUUAUUGUCUCAUUAGACAUAUAAACAUCCUUCCUAAUAUCAUUUUCUCAAAACCAAACCAAAUCUAUUGUGGUUUCCCUGUCUACUGAUAGUGUUCUUUGGCUGAUAGUGUUCUUUGUAGCCUCUUAUCAGGUAGAAUGUUUUUCUCAUUCUUGUUAACCCGCACAUCAAGGUCUCACAACAGUUGUCAGUUUGGCUCAGCAAAAGUUACAAGCAACUUUACAGAGCUUGAGUCUUAUCUUUUUGAAUUCAUUCCAGCUGCUCUUCCCUGUGCUUGAACAUACCAUAGUGCUUCCUUUGUCCUAAAGUAGAUCUGGAUUAACAAUUGGCUGUUGCUCACUUUUAUUGUAAUCAUUUAUGCACCUUUAUUUUAUAUUGUUUUACCGUUUCGGAGAGUUUUAAAAUUGAAAGGUAACACAGGCUCCUUCCACACAGCUGUAUAAAAUCCCACAUUAUCUGCUUUGAACUGGGUUAUAUAGCAGCGUGGACUCAGAUAAUCUAGUUCAAAGCAGAUAUUGUGGAUUAUCUGCCUCGAUAUUCUGGGUUAUAUGGCUGUGUGGAAGGGCCCACAGUAACAUUUUGAAAUAAAAACUCUAGAUAUAGUGACAUGUUCUCCAGCUAUUUAGCAGUGUAGAAAGAGCUGCUGGUUUCCCAGCAUUUCUAUGACUUGUUGGGUGUAUCUACACUGUCAAAUUAUUGCAAUUUGAAACAAUUUUAAAUGCUGUGGCUCAAUGCUAUGGAGGGCCCUUCCUUACAGCCAUAUAACCUAGAAUAUCAAGGCAGAAUAGCCCACAAUAUCUGCUUUGAACUGGGUUAUCUAUGUCCACACUGCCAUAUAUCCCAGUUCAGAGCAGAUAAUAUGGGAUUUUAUUCAGUUGUGUUGAAAGGAUUGGGAUAAUUGGAUUUGUAGUUUGAGUCACAAGCACUAUUUGGCAGAAAAGGCUGAAGAUUUUGUAAAACUACAGCUCCCAGAGUUCCUUAGCAUAGCUUUUUAGAAUUUCUGUUUGGGGUAUGUGGGAAUAUUUUCAAGCCAUGGUUGAUGGAAUCUAUGGAUGCUGAAUCCAUACAUACAGAGAAACUCUUUUAACAGAAACAGACGAUUUCAAUUGAAUUGAAUGCCUAAGGGCAAACUUAUGCCACUUAGUAAUACAAAUGUAUUUAACAAGAAAAAACAUUAACAACCUUGUGUGCUAAUUACAAGCUUUGCUAUUCUGCAUUGUUAAUAAGCCAAGACAGAAAACGCACUUAUAAUCCAACAUUCUAAAGAUCUUCUUGAUUCCAGGGUCUGGAUUCACAUCACGGGAGUCAAGAGGCAGUCAAAUCUCUUUGGGAGCAUUCUCCAGAAGAACACAGAAAGGCAGAAAACAAAGGAACAGAGAGUAAAAUAAUCUUACAAUAAGAAUCCAGCAGAAUGAUACAAAUCUAUAAACUAAGCUGUCACUUUGAAGUUGAAAAGAUAUGGUGGAAAGGCUUUAAGUUUUGGGGAAAGCGUAACUGACUGAUCUAAAUUGUUUAAAUAUUGCAAUCAAUUCAAUUCUAUUUUAAUAUUUAUCUUUUGUAGGUUUUAAUUGUUUUAUUCUUUUUAAAUUGUGAGCUGCUUUGAGUCCCAAUUGUAAUGGAGAAGCAAUAUGGUAAGAACAAUAAGAACAAGUACUACUACAGCCAACCCUCCACAUUUGCAGAUUUGAUUGUUAAUUUUUUCUGGGGAUCUCAACAUCCUUCAACACAACUCUAUUGUCAACUUUUGCCAGAAGUCAUGCUGGAGCACCUAAAAAUUCUUAGAAACAACAUUUCUCAUGGAAUCUCUAGGUUGGAGCUUUCCAGUCUAUGGCCCCAUCUACACUGCCAUAUAAUCCAGUAUCUGAAUCCAGAUUAUUUGAUUUGACCUGGAUUAUAUGGCAGUAUAGACUCAUAUAAUCCAGGUCAAAGCAGAUACCGUAUAUACUCGAGUAUAAGCCAAGUUUUUCAACCCUUUUUAGGGCUGAAAAAGGCCCCCUCGGCUUAUACUCAAGUAAGGAUCCUGGCUGGUUUAUAUUCAGGUCCGCUUAUGCUCGAGUAUAUAGGUAAUCAGAGUUGGACAGUCUUAUCAAAGUCUUAUUAUUUUAAAUUACAGUUUUAUGUAAAUAUUCAAAAGCGUUUAACCUACUGAUGCCUCAAUUAAUGUAAUUUUAUUGAUAUCUAUUUUUAUUUUUGAAAUUUACCAAUAGCUGCUGCAUUUCCCACCCUCAUCUUAUACUCGAGUCAAUAAGUUUCUCCAGUUUUUUGUGGUAAAAUUAGGUGCCUUGGCUUAUAUUCGGAUCGGUUUAUACUCGAGUAUAUUUGGAUUCAGAAGCUGGGUUAUUUGGCAGUGUAGAUCUAACCUGUGUGUCACGACACAUUAGUAUGUUGGCUGAAGUGUGCAGGUAUGUCAUGUGAACAUAAUGAGAAACGUCUGCAUCUAUGUGAAAUAAACAAUAAAUCAUAUGUUUUUAAAGUAUAUAAAUGAAAGGUUUUCAUGACAUAUGUGUUAUAUAAUUUAUAUAUAUAAAUUAUGUGAGUGUGUGUGUGUGUGUGUCCAUAUCUCUCAGAAGGAGUUGGUUGAACUUGUGGUUUGCUAGUAAAACUGAAUUACUGUGUUCUGAAAUGAUGCAUGUUUGUAAAGCUCUGCUUUAAGUCCUCCAGUACAAUCUGGUUGAAAUUGUUCAUAGAUUCAUGCUGCAGAAAUUAGAUAUUCUCUUGGGUUACAAAAAAACAGCAAUUCUAUUAUUUGUGGUUUUUCACUUUCUUUCUUGUGCCACGAAUCCCAGAGAAUGUGGAGAGCUGAAAGUAUUACCACUUCCGCAUCCUCUGUAAUAUGAAGCUACUUGUGAUUCACAGCAAUAUUGGAGAACUAUUUUUCACCCAUCUCACUUCUCAUUCUUAGAAUUUAAGCCCCCGUGUCACUUGCAAAUGAAAACUUAGGGGAGUCCAAUUCAAAUUAUGCCUUCUAAAACUUAGACCACGGGAUAGAAGGAAUCUACUUUGCACCUAGCGGGAGAGUCUGGCACAGAGUUUUAAAUUCAAGCAGGAUAUUUUAAGUUGGGUAGAAAGAGCAAUUAGCAGGUUGGAUGUCAGUCUUGAUUGUCUUCAUGCAAGCAGCUCUAAGGGAGCUGUAGGGCUGAUUUGAUGCAGAACUAAUAUGGUUUCACCCAAGCUUAAACAAUAGACAAGCAAUAAUUCUCAUAUUUGGCACUAACUUAUGUUUUCCAUAUUCUUAUACAUUAGGGUUCCACUGAAUGUGAUAUUUUACCAAUAUGUUUUGCCAUGGGGCCAAAUAGGAAUGUUGUUCUUGAGUUAGCUUCAACUUAUGAUGACCCUAUGAAUGCAAAACCUCCAACAGCCAUGGUUAGGAAUUGCUUUGCUCGGAUACUGCAGGACUGUGGUUUCCUUGGUGUACACAUAUAAUGGAGACUUCUCCUUUUUCUGCUACCUCCCACUUCAUUCAGUGCGCUCAUCUUUUCCAAUGAAAUGUCUCAUGGCAUGUGCAAAGUGCAAAAGCCUCAAUUUAGGCAGCUUGACUAUUAGGGAGAGUUCAAGCUUGAUUUGCCCGGGCUGUGGCGCAGGCUGGUGAGCAGCCAGCUGCAGCCAGCUGCAACAAAUCACUCUGACCAACAGGUCAUGAGUUCGAGGCCAGCUCGGAGCCUGCAUUUGUCUUUGUCUUUGUUCUGUGUUAAGUCAUUGAAUGUUUGCCUUAUAUGUAUAAUGUGAUCUGUCCUGAGUCCCCUUCAGGGUGAGAAGGGUGGAAUAUAAAUACUAUAAAUAAAUAAAUUUGCUUUAGCACUCA